UACAGAGGGUGUAAGCGUUGUUCGGAAUUAUUGGGCGUAAAGGGAGUGUAGGCGGCUAGGAAAGUCUUCUGUGAAAUCUACGGGCUCAGCCUGUAACGUGCAGAGGAAACUAUCUGGCUAGAGUGUCGGAGAGGAUAGGGGAAUACCCGGUGUAGAGGUGAAAUUCGUAGAGAUCGGGUGGAACACCAGUGGCGAAGGCGCCUGUCUGGCUGACAACUGACGCUGAGACUCGAAAGCAUGGGGAGCAAACAGG
rnacentral:rRNA from 1 species